UAUGAGUGGGGAUUGUGAGUUAGCGAUACAUGUUAGUGGGUUAGAUUCUAACCCGGUGGACCUUUCGUAGGUCCGGUUGCUUCGUCUCCGCAGUCGAGGGACCUUUGCCAGACACAUACAGAUGGGUACUUCGAUCCGAAGUAGGUACAGUGGUGCACGCUCGGUGAUAUCCUUCUACCCUCGUUCUCUUGUUGCUAUUAUUGCAUAUUAUAUUGAGCCUUGCACCCAUGUUGUUUCCAUUGUAUUCUACUGUCACGCCCCGAUGCCGCUACCAAUUUGGUCCGGUUCGGGCGCGUCGAACAGACGCCGAACGGACAGCGCCUUGCCUGUCCGCCCAAGGCUAAACAACCAGAUCAUGUACAAAUAAGCGCCCAGGAAUGCUUAGAUAACAUACAUGAUCGAACACAGCACACACAAGUGCAAUACAUCUAAGAGCAAGAACCACAAGUAAUAUACUAGUGUAUAAAGAGAGAUAGUCUAACUAUUACAUUCAUUCAAUAGUUACAACAUUUGUUUGCAUUACAUUUUUCAUCCACCUAAAUGUAAAUACAUAUUUUCCUCAAAAUACAAGUAGCUCUCCCAUAUCUAUCCAAACAUCAUCUAGUACACGAGGGUACUCUAAUGCAUAAAGGAAAAGCUACCUACUAACUCGCUUAGGGCGCUAUGCCCUUGCCGCGGUCCUCGCUUGACUCGCCUCUGUGUGUACCUGUACCCCAAAACCACACGGGGUGAGAACUAUAUAAAUAUAGUUCCCAGUGGGUUCGGCCGCCGACGCCGCCGGUUUUCCCACUAGGUCUAAGCUGGCACAGAUAGAGAGAUAGAUAGAUAUACAAAGAUAAACUGCAACUACUCUAUCAUGCCACCAAUGAUAAUAAUGCAUGCAACAACUACUAUCAUGCUAGUAUCAUGUCAUGAGUAUAUAAAGGAGCAUAGUAAUGUAAACUACAACAUACACUAUGUCUACUCAAGGUAAUAAUGCAAGCCCACUAUGCAUUUCAUGUUUCUUACCCAAUUCACUUGGUUAACCCGAAGGUUAAACCCUCGACUCACUCUCAAUCUCAUAGGUGAGGAGAAACUGCACUCGCACACCGAGACCGUCUGCGGGACAACUACGUCUGCCCCUAGUGAAGUACUCCGGAGACUCGUGCCUCGGUGGAGCGACCACCGACAAGCAAAAACAGACUAGUGAGUAUGAUCCAAUCCUCACAAGAGGAUACCCUGUCUACUAGGGUCAAUGUGUGCCUCUGCUGCACAAUAUACAAUGCAUCCUAGAUGCCGGGAUCUCUACUAUCCCUAGAACCAUGUCAUGUUUACUACACUAGACUCGAUGCCACUCGUUCGAUCAUUGUAGUAAGUUUUCUAGCUAAUUGACAUGCCACUCGUUCUUGUUUAGUGUUUCUACUACACUAGUUCAAUGCCACUCUACUAGGCUAUCAUAUGUCCAAGUUCGGCUCUUUAUGCCGCUAUAGGAUUCUAUGUCACAAGACCCAAUCCUCAUGCUAUCCUAGUCCACGUGUCAAGCUCCCCCGCUACACUACCAAGAAGGCAUGCAAGGCAAUGGAAAUGUACAACUACUAUUCCUAUAGCACAAUAUGAUCAACAUAAUUAACUUAGACAUAAAAGGAAACCCGGAUGUUUCGGGACGACACCCCCCACCUUUUGCGUGUAAGGAGGCUCUAGAAAUGCGCUUCGGCGUCCUUUACGACGAAGCCUCGGUCUUCUUGGUCCAAAUGAUGCUCAAUCGGCCUUAUCUUGCCGAUAGCUCUUGACCCGCUCGACGAAUCGAAUUUCCGACUUCGCCCCCGCGUUUAGGCACCUACCAAUUAGGUUUACAAGGCCUCAAAUGAGAUCAAUCCCAUACUUUACCAAAAACCCUAUUUUGGUGCCCUAGGGUUAGCAUCAAGCUAAACCCAUCUCAAAACCCUAGAUUCUAGCUCAAAUCCCUCCAUUCAUGGUACUAGAGAUCCAUUUGAUCCCAUCCAAAGAGCUAAAACCCAAAACCCUAAAUUUCAUAGCUAGGGUUAGAAGCCUACCUCUUGUUGUAGCUUCAAAGAGAGAAGAGAGGAUGAAGGAGAGGUCCAAAAGCUUCCUCUUGUUGAUCUCCUUCUUCUUCUCCUUCCUUUUCUUCCUUCCUUUCCUUCUCUUUUCCUCUUCUUCUUCUUCUUCUCUUUUCUUUCUAGAGAGAGAGAGAGCAAGAGAGUGUGAGUGAGGGAGAGAGAGAGUGAGCUGAGGGAGAGUGAGAGUGAGAGAGGGACUAAUAAGCCCUCUAAUGUAACAAUAUCCAGGUGGCCCCCUCAACUUUUCAUCCCUUGCAUAGCCCUUACUGGGCAUUCUGCGCGCGGAGGGACCGGUCUCCCCGACUUGGGACCGGUCCCCGAGAGCUUCAGCUCGGGUCACGCGUUCGGGUACCGGUUUCUCCCAGAGAGACCGGUCCUCGGGAGACCGGUUCCUUCCUGAGAGACCGGUUCCCGAGAGCUGGGAUUUCAGGACUUAGCCAAUUUUUGGCUUUUCGCGCUGGGAUAACGUUCGGGAACCGGUCCUUCACUGCCAGGGACCGGUUGCCUCAAGCAACCCCCGCGACACCGGCUGAUGGGACCGGUCUCUCCCUGCCAGGGACCGGUCCCCGAGAGCAGUUUUGCCCCAGUGCAGAUUUCGCACUAUUUGCUCUCGUGGACUCGCUUCCACUCCACUUUUGGUGAUUUUAAUAUCUUUGGUCUCUCCAAAGUACACCAACACGACCCUUGGUCGAUUCGGGAUGAAGUCAAAUCCUCGUAUUUCGAGAAUUCACUUCCUCACAUCUACUCAGUUGUUUGCAUGUAUUGUAGCGUGAGUAGGAGUAGAGUAGUUGAUCUAUAUGUGAUUGUGUGACCUGGUUGGUCGGUUCUCGUACUUCGUAUCAGUGACCUGGUUGGUCGGUUCUCGUACUUUGUAUUAGUGACCUUGUUGGUCGGUUGGACUCUUUGAUGACCUAUAUGGUCGGUAUACCCUGAGGGGUUGGAUUGUCGGUUAGUUGCCAACGGAUGACUAUAGCUUACUCAGAUCCAUUAUUUGACAUGGUUGUGACUUAGUCAGUUUGUGACUUUCAUUGUUUGAUGACCUUUGAGGUCGGUCUACCUUAAGGGGUAGGAUUGUCGGCUAGUGGCUGACGGUAGUUCUGGAUUAUACACUCUGGUGACUUGUUGGUCGGUUCUUGCUUAUAUACUUUGGUUGACCUAUUGAUUAGUACGUGCAUACUUUUGGGAGAAUGUUGAGCUGUUCCAUCCUAGUUGACCUGAGUGGCCGGUACUUGUGUUUCCUUACAGUUCAAUGACCCAUUUGGUCGACUUGUUGCAUCGUUGUUGGACCUACUUGGUCGUUUGGACUAGUUGAUAACCUAUAUGGUCUGUGAGACCUGAGGGGCAGGAUUGUCGGCUGGUUGCCGACGGUUGGCCAUUGAGCAUAUCAGCAUUGAUCGCCCGAGAUUCGUUCGUAUUUCACGAACACCAGCGGUUUGAUCCAAUGCAAGAGGGUGUUCUUUUCCGAAAAAGUGGUUGUAGGUGUCAACCCAUGAGCCCAAGAGGGGUUAUAUGCAUGGUAAAGUGGCAGUGGUACUGUCAGGAGGUUUGCGGUGCGGACCUCCAGGGAACACGCUUGAGGUCUGUGGUGCAGACCAAGAGAGCACAGAUUUCAGAUUGGGAAUAUUUGGACUUCUCGUUCGGUUGACGCAUAUAGCUAUAGUAGCGCUUGUUGCAUGUAUACUUACAGUUCUUUCUUUACAGUUGUCUUGCUACUAUAGUUUUGAUAUCCUUGUAUGCUUUCAGUUGUACAUUAUAGUAACGGUAGUUGUACUUUCUUAUAUAUAUAUCUCUUUCGUUCAUUGUUGCUACUGUAUUUCACUUACCCAUACUGCUGUUUAUCUCUUCCUGAUCCGGUGAGUACUCCUCGCCUUCGUCGGCUUGCGGUACCCACUGGGAGGGGAGACAUGUUUACAUGUUCUCACAUCCCCCACCAUUUUUCAGGUAUCGCGGGCGGUGAGGGUUGAGACGAGACGUGAGACACGUUCGUAGCGGUCGAUAGAGCUUCCAACCCGAUUUGUUUAGUUUAGUUGCUACUUUCAUUAUUUCUAAUUAUUUGACUUAGACAGUUAUUAGUUCAGUUUUGUUAUUACAUUUGAAUAAUCGGGAUUUCGUAAUAAAAGAUUUAUGGUUUUGUAAACUGGAAAUGGUUUUCUACCCCUCGUGGUAGCGUGUUUUAAUGAAAAGGAUUUCCGUGUGGGAAACGGUUUUGAAAAGGUUUUCUCGUGGCUUUCGUAACUUAGUAUUUCAAAAACAAGUGUCACGCCCCAAUCCCCGCCUAUUUGGUCGGGUUCGGGUCACGUCAACAGACGCCGAACGGACAGAGCCUCCCCUGUCCGCCCAAGGCUCUAACAACAUGUAUAAAUAGGCAAUCAACAAGAGAUUUGCAUAUAUAAUACAAGGCUUGCACGAGAGCAAGCAACAACGAAAGCGAAAGCUCUAAGCUAAAAGAUACAACCAUACAUAAUAUUUGAUUACAUUUAAACCAAAUACUAGUAAACUAAAACUAUUACAUCCAUUUGCUUUCAUUCAUAACAUCUUUACAUCUUAAUCAUUCUCCAAAAAUACAUGAAUUGUUUUCAACUUUUACAUCUAUAAAUCAACAAAAGAAAGUUGAUACAUGUACACAAAAGGGAAUGACUAAAUGCAUAAACUCCGGUGGCCACUAGCUAUGGCGCAAUACCUUUGCCUCGGUCCUCCGCUGCCCCGCUCGUGCUCGGACCUCCGCUGCCCCGCUCGCGCUCGGACCUGUAGGGUUAGUGGUGUGAGAACUACAACGAAGUUUCCAGUGGGUUUUGCAACCAACCUCGCCGUCUUACCGCCUAGGUCUAUUCAGGCAUAAGUACUUCAAAGGAAAGGAAAACUGUAACCAAUGCUAAUGCUAAUACUAUACUUGCAAGAAAUAUGUCAGUGGAUAUAUAAUCAAAAUAGAAUGCUCAUGCAUGCAUGCUUGUUCCAUAACUUUACUUUGGCUUUUACCCAAUCUUGCCAAUUAACCUUGUUAACCCUAAUAACCCAACUCAAAAUCCCUUCAUAACGGGGGACUCGAAUCACCCUAGAGACCGUCCUCUGGAGGGACUUUACUACGCCCAGUGGUGACCAACUUCGGAGCGCACCGCCCGAGGGGGAGCUACCUCCCUCAAGCUAAGACUUAUCGUGAGUGUCGAUCUAAUCCUCAACUUGAGGAUACAUAGCCACUAGUCACAAUGCUAUUGUCAUAAUAGGUUUCCACCUAUUUGUUCAUGCCACUUUCUAAGUCAUUCUUGUCACGAUACCACUGUGGUUAAACCUUGUUUAACAACCAAUGUCUCAAUGCCAAUCUUGUCUCUAUUGUCAAUGUCACCUUUGUUUACUAUAAUCAAGAUCCAAGUCUCACAUUCAUACAAUCUUUAAGGUUCUACUAUACAUGUCCAUUAUGGUUCCAUCAUUCUCUAUGUUCAACUACGUUAGAAGCAUAUAAAUGAAGUCAAACCAAGGUUCACAUAUAAACUACCCUAUCAUGCAUGAAUGAUACUAUACAAAGAUAUGCUCAACAAAGGCGAAAUAGACAUAAAGGGGAAUCCGAUGAUUCUGGCAUGCACCCCGACCUCAAAUAGUGUAGAAGGGUUGUAGUUCGACUCUCGUGAUUUUAGGAUGCCUCUCCCGCAACCUAUACCCAAAAUAGUGCCGAAUUAGGCCCUAUACACAAGAUCUCUUACUUAACCUUUUCGUAACGUCAAACGGAGUUGUCCCAUGCGUCGGGGAUACCCCUAAUUAGGUUUCCAAGAGGUCAAUUUAUCUCGAAAACAUCCGGAGGCAAAAGCCCCAAAAUCCAUGCCCUAACAAUGCCAUAAUGGAAUUUCUCCUAGAUUGAUCUCAAUCUUAAGCAAAAGCUAGCUUAGAUUCAACUAGGAAGCAUUCUAAUACCAUUUCCAAGUCUUUCCAAACAUCCCUAGGGCAUCUACUAUGAACCCUAGCUAACCACCAUUAAAGCACAUGAAGCUCACAUGGGUUUCAUGGUGUUCAUGGCCCUGAAGGGUUUCCAAAGCCUCUAAGAAGCUCAAAACUCCAAAACUUAGGGUUAAAAUCCUAACCCUGGAGCUAUUCUUGCACAAAACUCACCUUGGCCACGAGCUCACCCAAGUCCACCUUGUUGCAGAGCCUUAAGAUCCUCCCAAGCCACUAAAAUCUCACUCCAAAGCUUCUUCUCAACCUUCUCCUUGCUCUAGGGUGUGAUUUCUUGAGAGAGAAAGAGAGGAAUGAGAGAGGAAGAGAUUUAGGGCUGUUGGCUAUGAAGGGGAGAAGUGUUGGGGUAUUAACGUGUUGUG
rnacentral:lncRNA from 1 species